CUCUACGGGGAAGGAGGGGGACCCGGGACGUCCAAGAGUUGCGCGCUCCAGUUCCUGCGCCCCGAGCUUCUCUCCUCCGCGAGCGCUUAAGAAAUGGUCUGCACCGAGUUCUUUGCUCGCUGAAUGAUUUAAUCCUGAAUCCAGAUGGAACAGUUGAAGUCGCCGUCCCCAUUUUAUGGACCCUCAGGAGGCUCAGCCACCAAGUUCCAGAUGCUUCCAUGAUGCCAACCUGAAUUUCCUGGGCAGACAACCUCACCUGUGUGUCCUGGGGUCCUGCCUCCACAGAGCCCUGCCGCACUAGAGAAAGAGAGAGACAGGCUGGGAGUGUGGAUCGACCUGCCAACACCUAUGUUCAGCAAAGAAGCAAUUACAGAAGCCAGACCUUCCCCCUUCUGCAUCCCAUAAUGAUCUUGGGUCCAUGCACUCAGAAGGAUAAAGAAUAGGAAAGCUUACAAGAGAGGGGGUGGGAUAUGGAAUUCUGGCAGUGGGAAUUUUGUGGAAUUGUACCCCUCUUAUACUAUGCUUUUUGUUGGUCAUUAUGUGAGGUCCCUUGCAUUGCUUGAUGCUGUGGUCUCUUUACAUAAUAAUUGUUUUGCCUGAGACCUGCCCUGCCUGCAGGGUAUUGGUUUAAUCCCCACUGGUUAGAACCUUCACAACAGCUGAAGACCCGCCUUGCCUGCAGGGCAUUGGCUUAAUCCCCACUGGUUAGAUGGAAGCUUGCUACCUUCUCGCUCUUUUUUCCUCUCCACCCCCUCUCCUAGCCAUUUCCUUUUCUGACCUACCACUUCUGUCUCAGAAGAUAUAAAGGCAUUUUCUCUGAUAAAUAAAAGGCAUUAUUGUAUUGCGUUACCGCUCAGCCACUCAGUUCCUGCUUCCUCUCCCGCAUCACUGAAUAAGCAGCAGCCCAGGUUGGCUCCAGUUGAGUUCUCUCCCCUGGGAUACAACCCGACAGGUUUUGUCCAUAUUUCCAUUUUAUACUAAAUAAAAUAAAAUAAAAUAAAAUAAAAACCUCAGACAUGCAAAGACCAGAGAAGAGCAGUGAGGCUUUGGAACAGCAAGAAGAGUACUGCACUUGUAUGUAUGAGUCCUCAGAUUCCAUCUUGGCACUGCUUAUGUCAACAUUACACUCUGUUCUCUUGCAUUCACAAAUUAAUAUCUCUUUAAAAAAAAUCAGAGAAGUGUCACUAGAAAAAGCAAAAUAAAAGUAUGAAGUCC